CUUUCAUUAAUUUCUUCACCUCGAUUCCCAUGUGGUAAUUCCUAAGGCCUAGUUUAAAGAUGGGUUGAUACUCUACAGUGGCAGAGAGGAGAAUUUCUAAUUGUUUCUGUUCUGCAUUAUGGAUUCAUUUCUGUACUCACUUCCUCAAUGUACAACUAAGGUGACAGUUAUAUAAAAUCAUACACAAUAAAAUCAGGACUAUAAUAACAAAAGGAUAGAAGAAUGAUUUCAUUAUCUGGGAUCCAGUAGG